rnacentral:rRNA from 1 species
UACGUAGGGUGCGAGCGUUGUCCGGAUUUAUUGGGCGUAAAGAGCUCGUAGGCGGCUCGUCGCGUCGACCGUGAAAACCCGCGGCUUAACCGCGGGCUUGCGGUUGAUACGGGCGGGCUAGAGUUCGGUAGGGGAGACUGGAAUUCCUGGUGUAGCGGUGAAAUGCGCAGAUAUCAGGAGGAACACCGGUGGCGAAGGCGGGUCUCUGGGCCGAUACUGACGCUGAGGAGCGAAAGCGUGGGGAGCGAACAGG